GAAAAAAAAUGAUGGGCUGAGCCCAACAUUCUUUGCUAACGACAAAUAUGGCUGGACACUUGCUUAGUAUUCUCGUGCUAAUGCGCAAUGAUUCCAACAAAAGUCAAGUUAUGUUUUUGACUAAGUACAAGGCUACUUGUUUCCUACAAAUAGUUUACAUGGUUAAGAAAACUAGCUAAUUCUUAAGAAGGAAAAGCCAAGUUUAGUUUCUAGCAUCUUUCGUUAAAAGGUUGAUGUGG
rnacentral:misc_RNA from 1 species